GAUCAAAGUGUAGUAUCUGUUCUUAUCAGCUUAAUAUCUGAUACGAUCCUCAUCGAGGAUCCAGAAUAUUAAACUUAUUUUUGGAGAAUGACGGAGUGUUAGGGGCUUGCUCCACCUCUGUCGCGGGUUGGC
rnacentral:snRNA from 1 species